rnacentral:snRNA from 1 species
GUGCUUGCUUCGGCAGCACAUAUACUAAAAUUGGAACAAUACAGAGAAGAUUGCGCAAAGAUUCGUGAAGCGUUCCCCAAUUUU